CCUACGAGAGGCAGCAGUGGGGAAUAUUGCACAAUGGGGGAAACCCUGAUGCAUCGACGCCGCGUGAGUGACGCAGUAUUUCGGUAUGUAAAGCUCUGUCAGCAGGGAAUAAAAUGCCGGUACCUGACCAAGAAGCCCCGGCUAACUACGUGCCAGCAGCCGCGGUAAUACGUAGGGGGCAAGCGUUAUCCGGAUUUACUGGGUGUAAAGGGAGCGUAGACGGCAGGGCAAGUCUGGAGUGAAAGGCGGGGGCUCAACCCCCGGACUGCUCUGGAAACUGCCAGGCUGGAGUGCAGGAGAGGUAAGUGGAAUUCCUGGUGUAGCGGUGAAAUGCGUAGAUAUUAGGAGGAACACCAGUGGCGAAGGCGGCUUACUGGACUGUAACUGACGUUGAGGCUCGAAAGCGUGGGGAGCAAACAGGAUUAGAUACCCCAGUAGUC
rnacentral:rRNA from 1 species